AGCAGCCGCGGUAAUUCCAGCUCCAAUAGCGUAUAUUAAAGUUGUUGCAGUUAAAAAGCUCGUAGUUGAAUUUCGGGAUCAAUUAAUCGGUCGUGCCUCUGGUACGUACUGGUUUUAUUGGUUCCUCCCUUCUGACGAAACACGAUGUCAUUAAUUUGGUGUCGUGGAGAAUCAGGACUGUUACCUUGAAAAAAUUAGAGUGUUUAUAGCAGGCUAACGCUUGAAUACAUUAGCAUGGAAUAAUGAAAUAGGACGUUCGACCCUAUUUUGUUGGUUUCUAGGAUCGACGUAAUGAUUAAUAGGGAUAGUUGGGGGCAUUAGUAUUCAAUUGUCAGAGGUGAAAUUCUUGGAUUUAUUGAAGACUAACUACUGCGAAAGCAUUUGCCAAGGAUGUUUUCAUUAAUCAAGAACGAAAGUUAGGGGAUCGAAGACGAUCAGAUACCGUCGUAGUCUUAACCAUAAACUAUGCCGACUAGGGAUCGGAUGAUGUUAAUUUUUAAUGACUCAUUCGGCGCCUUAC
rnacentral:rRNA from 1 species